rnacentral:lncRNA from 1 species
GUUAGAAGUUCUGCCUGCCCUACAGCCUGCACUGAGGGCUCUCAUCACUGCUUCUGAGAUCUUAAUGGGGGUCAACGAAGAUGUGGGCUUCUCUGAGUUUAGACCAUCCAUCUGCCAAGGAAAACCAAGCCCUGAGACUGAUAGAGAUGAGAGAAGAGAAUGGUAAUGUCCCCAAGACAGAGCAGGCAGGAAGUUUGAAGCCUCUGAGGGAUACAGGAAAAUCUAACCUCAAAGAGAAGAAGCCCCUGGCAAGCAUCAUUUACUUCCUGUAUGUAUUUGAUGCUCUAGGGCAGGGGUCCCCAGCCCCUGGGCUGCAGACCCGUACCUGUCUGUGGCCUGUUAGGAACCAGGCUGCACAGCAGGAGGUGAGUGGCAGAUGAAUAUCAACAAGUUGUGUCCGGGCUUGGGUGGUGAGUGUAUGACUCCAGAUGUUAUGCUGCUCCAGCAGAACCAGUCACUCUUGUGGAAGCCAAGGAAUGGGAACAGAAGAAUAUGAAAUCUGUGGUACUGAUCAUCAGUCUUAAUAUCCAAAUGAAUAUCAUGGUACAUACCAUGAUGGCUA